rnacentral:rRNA from 1 species
CCUACGGGUGGCAGCAGUGAGGAAUAUUGGUCAAUGGGCUUGCGCCUGAACCAGCCAAGUCGCGUGAAGGAUGACUGCCCUACGGGUUGUAAACUUCUUUUAUCAAGGAGUAAAGUGAGGCACGUGUGCCUUUUUGUAUGUACUUUAUGGAUAAGGAUCGGCUAACUCCGGGCCAGCAGCCGCGGUAAUACGGAGGAUCCGAGCGUUAUCCGGAUUUAUUUGGGUUAAAGGGAGCGUAGAUGGGUUGUUAAGUCCGUUGUGAAAGUUUGCGGCUCAACCGUCAAAUUGCAAUUGAUACUGGCAGCCUUGAGUGCAGGUGAGGUAGGCAGAAUGCGUGGUGUAGCGGUGAAAUGCUUAGAUAUCACGAAGAACUCCGAUUGCGAAGGCAGCCUACUAAACUGCCACUGACAUUGAUGCUCGAAAGUGUGGGUAUCGAACAGGAUUAGAUACCCGAGUAGUC